rnacentral:sRNA from 1 species
GCUGGGCAUGGUGGUGCAUGCCUGUAAUCCCAGCAACUCAGGAGGCUGAGGCAGGAGGAUAGCAAGUUCAAAGCCAGCCUCAACAAUUUAGCAAAAUCCUGUCUCAA